AGGAUCAGUGACAUCUCACCAGGACUUUAGGUCCAACCACCAAUUGACAGGAAAUAAAGGGCAGAGGGACGGGUCAGGGGCAUCGAGGGGAUGCCCUCAGCUCCGGACGGGGGCGCUCUACAGGACAAACGGCUUGGAAGAAACAGAAGAAAAGAAAAAAGAGCAGUGACGGAGCCUGCAGAGGUGCUGCUGAAAUGGCGCGCGGUAAUGCCUGCUCUCCUCCUGGGGAAGCUGGCCGGCCUCUCGUCUCAGGCCCCGGCUGCACCCCGGUCCUCACCAGAGGCUUUCCUGCCGAGAUGAACUCAGGGCUGGUUUUCACUCAGAGGCUGGUACCUCCUUCCCCUCUAGCCAUUGGCGCUACCGCCUCCCCGUGGACCAAGUUUUCUCCCUGCAGUGGUAACACCUCCUUCAGAGCACAGAACUGACCGUCAGAGCCAGAAAGGGCUCUAAGAGCACACCGGGCCCAGCACCUCCUGUGAUAAAAUGAGGCCAUCAGCCCAGAAGCCCUGUGAGCCGUGGACGAGGGUCGGAGCGCUGCACACGGUGGCAGAGACCUCUGGCUGGCGCUCAGACCUCAGGGACCAGCAUUCUUCUCUCUUUCCCGUGCUGACCUCCCCAGAUGCACCCCCAUCUGACCCCUCACCUCCCACGGGCCUCCCAGUCUGUGGGGCGGGAAUCCACGUGGAACCAGAGCUCACGGCCCUGCCACGCUCCUCCCAGGCUCUGACCCAUUCACCUCUUCUCCUGGCGGCUUUGUUGCAUUUGGCCUUGGAGCUCUUGGGACAACCCGUGGCAGGACGGCAGCAGCCGGCAGGAACCAGCCACCCCGAGGCGGCUUCCCACUGGCAGGGCCUCGCUGGAGGUGUUAAAUACCCAAGUCCUGGCAAAAUC